rnacentral:rRNA from 1 species
UGGGGAAUAUUGGGCAAUGGGCGCAAGCCUGACCCAGCAACGCCGCGUGAAGGAAGAAGGCUUUCGGGUUGUAAACUUCUUUUCUCAGGGACGAAGCAAGUGACGGUACCUGAGGAAUAAGCCACGGCUAACUACGUGCCAGCAGCCGCGGUAAUACGUAGGUGGCAAGCGUUAUCCGGAUUUACUGGGUGUAAAGGGCGUGUAGGCGGGAAAGCAAGUCAGAUGUGAAAACCAUGGGCUCAACCCAUGGCCUGCAUUUGAAACUGUUUUUCUUGAGUACUGGAGAGGCAGACGGAAUUCCUAGUGUAGCGGUGAAACGCGUAGAUAUUAGGAGGAACGCCAGUGGCGAAGGCGGUCUGCUGGACAGCAACUGACGCUGAGGCGCGAAAGCGUGGGGAGCAAACAGGAUUAGAUACC